CCUGCUUACAGGAAUUGAAUGCCCCUCUACUCUCUAGGAAACGGACCUUCUCCCUCUCCCAAGUGCUCCACAACAGGACUUAAAGCAGGCCAAGAACCCAAUACAGAAGGAAGAAGAGAGAGGCUGAAGAAAAAUCCACACAUCACAUGAAGUAAAAUGAAAAAAACUACCUUUAUGUAUCUGGUAAUUGAUAUUUUCAAAAGGAAGAUCUCUCUUUCAAAGACAGUUACUUCCUUUCUUCUGAUCUUAACUACCAAAAGUAACUCACCUGGGCACCAGAAUUAAACACUGUAGCACACAAGGUUAGUAUCUUAUCAGAUAAAACCAACUUACUGGGAAACCAUAGGAUAUGGCUGUGUAGAAUAACUGGUAGAUAUAAAUUGAAAACAUGUAUUUCUUUCUAAAUGGGGUUUUUAUUUUUCUGGGAUGCAAUUAAAUGUAUUUCCUUUACAAAACUUCCAUAGCAGAUCCUCUAAUUCUCCUAAAUUCUACCAAUUCCAAAAAAAAUCUCACUAGGUUUUGUUGAAAUCUUAUUUGACCAAUUUAUCAAAUAGAAGAGUCAUUCUAAUCAUCCAUAUAGAAGCCAAAGGCAUGAAAUACACUAGGAGAAGCCCUUUUCCAAAUACUCAAUGCCGUAUUUUUGUUGCUGAAAAUAAAUGAACUUUGUCACCCUCCGA